rnacentral:rRNA from 1 species
CCGCUAUUGGAGUUCGAUUAAGCCAUGCGAGUCGCGACCAUUAGAUUCUCGGCGUACCGCUCAGUAACACGUGGGUAACCUGCCCUAUGCUGGAUAAUAACCUCGGGAAACUGAGAAUAAUGAUCCAUAGUUCACUACGCCUGGAACGGUGAAUGGAUGAAAGCUCCGGCGGCAUAGGAUGGGCCUGCGGCGUAUCAGGUUGUAGGGGGUGUAACGUACCCUCUAGCCCUCUACGCGUACGGGUGUUGGGAGACAUAGCCCGGAGAUGGAUUCUGAGACACGAAUCCAGACCCUACGGGGUGCAGCAGGCGCGAAAACUUGGCAAUGCGAGAAAUCGUGACCAGGGAACUCCAAGUGCAUCGGGUAAGACCAAUGCUUUUCUUGACUCUAAAUAGGUCUUGGAAUAAAAGGUGGGUAAGGACGGUGCCAGCCGCCGCGGUAAUACCGGCGCCUCAA